rnacentral:rRNA from 1 species
UACGAAGGGGGCAAGCGUUAUCCGGAAUUAUUGGGCGUAAAGCGCGCGCAGGCGGUUUCUUAAGUCUGAUGUGAAAGCCCACGGCUCAACCGUGGAGGGUCAUUGGAAACUGGGGAACUUGAGUGCAGAAGAGAAAAGCGGAAUUCCACGUGUAGCGGUGAAAUGCGUAGAGAUGUGGAGGAACACCAGUGGCGAAGGCGGCUUUUUGGUCUGUAACUGACGCUGAGGCGCGAAAGCGUGGGGAGCAAACAGG